ACUUAGGUCUUGGUAUUGGGUACCACAAUUUUUUUUAUUAACGAUCUUUGUUGCCAAAAAGCCGAGCGUCACAUGUUUGAUUGCAGAUUAAACAUAAUGGCUGUGCUCAGAGGGCGCAAAAUGUGGAAAUCGAACGAGACAUUGAACGUGUUUUGUCCUGAAAAAUUUUUGAGGAUUAUUGAUGCAAUCAACCGACUUUGGCUGGGUUCGGGGAGACGUUAUUAGCGCUGAAAGUAUCAUUCUAUUCUUGUUGCUCAGUGAAUGUCGAAGAAAGAUAGAGCACGCUCACAGCGCCAAAAGCGUGCUCUCGGAACCCAAUCUUUGUAUUCCAAGAUAAUGGUUAACAAUGAUUUGUUUUGCUGUAUUUGCCGAUUUUGUAUUUCAAGAUAAUUUAUUAGUGCUUGAUGGUUAUAUUGGCCUCACGAAAGUUAUUGGGAACCAAAAAUUAAUAUUCUUAUUUCUGCCAGACUUUCGUUUCAUGCAAAAAUGUGUUGAAUGAGCAUAAUUUUUAUCAACGUGCGAGUGACCUGACUCAUAUAUCUGGACACUUAAGGCGUGGAUCCAAUGGAGAUUUGUAAUCAAAACUGAAAUUGCCUCCUAUGUCUAUAAUGGCAGUGUUAUAACAACGUAAUGUAACAAAAAAAAAAUGCCCAUAGCAUAAACUCACUUUUGAGUGACUGUAAUUUUUAUACAAUUUCAAUAUAGGAAGUUCAUUAUUUAUUAAUAGAUAUUCACACAGCAUUAAAAAAUAACUUUUAUAGCUGUUAAUUUGGCUGCAAUUAUUCUAUUAUUAUCAAGAGAAUCUUUUUAAAAAAGUAAAACUUUUCUGCAAUUGAAUAUAUUGGUAUUCACCACUAUUGGAUUCUAGGGAAAGAUUUGGGAUUAAAAUUCCCCCUUUCAAAUUAAAAAAAAUUAGUCUUACUAGACCGAUUUAAAAAAUUUAAGUAAAAUGAUACAGGCUGAUUUACGCAGGUGUCUGUGGAUCAAAUUCUUAUGCAUAGGAUUCACUGUGUUCAAACUGUCCAAUGUCUAAUAUACAAUGUUCAGUAAACAAUUUUAUUACCCCUCUCCCUCCAUUAUCAAGGAUUCACUAAUGGUGUUCAUGGUCAAUAGCUACAUAGUAAUACGUAUGAUUAAAUUUUAAGUGCAAAUACGAACAGGUUUUAAUUUGAUUUCUUGUUGUAAUCAUUAAGUUGGUUUAAUUUGCACUAUUGUACGGAUAUCUAUCAGAACUGUAACUCACAAAACUUUACACAAAAACUUAUUAUCAAUUUAAAAUGGUUUUUUAUUAAAAUUGAAUUAUAUAACAUGUUAGUUUUUAUAAAAGUAAUACAUUACUAUUACUUUUACUUUUUGUAAAAAGUAACUCGUUACCAUUACUUCUCUGGUGAAAAAUUUUCACAGGAUUUUUUAUACAAUCUCAGAAUAGUUUAGAAUUUACAUAUAUAAAAAUUUUAAGCAGAUUCUCAGUAUUUCUGAAAUGUCCCAAUAUUUGUGUAAAAAUUCUGAAAAAUUUUUUAUUAGGAUUGUUACUAAUGUAAAAAAUAACGUAUUAUCACCAUUACCGUUACUUAUAGUAAAUUCAGUCGCCUUACACUGGCACUGAACUCAUGUUGUACUAAACCGUACGAAUGCAACAUUAAAUCCAAAAUAAAGGAACA
rnacentral:lncRNA from 1 species